UACGUAGGGGGCUAGCGUUGUCCGGAAUCAUUGGGCGUAAAGAGCGUGUAGGCGGUCCGGUAAGUCCGUUGUGAAAGUCAGGGGCUCAACCCUUGAAUGCCGGCGGAUACUGUCGGGCUAGAGUCCGGAAGAGGUGAGUGGAAUUCCUGGUGUAGCGGUGAAAUGCGCAGAUAUCAGGAGGAACACCGGUGGCGAAGGCGGUUCUCUAGGAAUGUCCUGACGCUGAGGAGCGAAAGUGUGGGGAGCGAACAGG
rnacentral:rRNA from 1 species